AUUGAACGCUGGCGGCAUGCCUUACACAUGCAAGUCGAACGGUAACAGGUCUUCGGAUGCUGACGAGUGGCGAACGGGUGAGUAAUACAUCGGAACGUGCCUAGUAGUGGGGGAUAACUACUCGAAAGAGUGGCUAAUACCGCAUGAGAUCUACGGAUGAAAGCAGGGGAUCGCAAGACCUUGUGCUACUAGAGCGGCCGAUGGCAGAUUAGGUAGUUGUUGGGAUAAAAGCUUACCAAGCCGACGAUCUGUAGCUGGUCUAAGAGGACGGUCAGCCACACUGGGACUGAGACACGGCCCAGACUCCUAGGGGAGUCAGCAGUGGGGAAUUUUGGACAAUGGGCGAAAGCCUGAUCCAGCAAUGCCGCGUGCAGGAUGAAGGCCUUCGGGUUGUAAACUGCUUUUGUACGGAACGAAAAGCCCCGGGUUAAUACCCUGGGGUCAUGACGGUACCGUAAGAAUAAGCACCGGCUAACUACGUGCCAGCCGCCGCAGUAA
rnacentral:rRNA from 1 species